UUGCUUCAGCAGCACAUAUACUAGAAUUGGAAUGAUACAGAGAUUAGCAUAGCUCCUGCACAAGAAUUACACACAAAUUUGUGAAGUGUUCCAUAUUUUU
rnacentral:snRNA from 1 species